rnacentral:rRNA from 1 species
UACGAACCGUGCGAACGUUAUUCGGAAUCACUGGGCUUAAAGGGCGCGUAGGUGGCGGCUUAAGCGUGCGGUGAAAGCUCGGGGCUCAACCCCGAGUCGGCCGUGCGAACUGAGUCGCUUGAGCACUGUAGAGGCAGGCGGAAUUCCUGGUGUAGCGGUGAAAUGCGUAGAUAUCAGGAGGAACACCUGUGGUGUAGACGGCUUUCUGGACCAUAGCUGACGCUGAGACACGAAAGCGUGGGUAGCAAACAGG